AGUCGAGGGGCAGCACGAAUAGCAAUAUUUGGUGGCGACCGGCAAACGGGUGCGGAACACGUACGCAACCUUCCCAUAACUGGUGAAUAGCCUUCCGAAAGGGAGAUUAAUACACCGUAACAUAGUUGAGUGGCAUCACUUGAUUAUUAUAGCUUCGGCGGUAUUGGAUGGGCGUGCGCCUGAUUAGGUAGUUGGCGGGGUAACGGCCCACCAAGCCUUCGAUCAGUAACUGGUGUGAGAGCACGACCAGUCACACGGGCACUGAGACACGGGCCCGACUCCUACGGGAGGCAGCAGUAAGGAAUAUUGGUCAAUGGACGCAAGUCUGAACCAGCCAUGCCGCGUGAAGGAUGAAGGCCCUCUGGGUUGUAAACUUCUUUUAUCUGGGACGAAAAAAGGGGAUUCUUCCUCACUUGACGGUACCAGAGGAAUAAGCACCGGCUAACUCCGUGCCAGCAGCCGCGGUAAUACGGAGGGUGCAAGCGUUAUCCGGAUUUACUGGGUUUAAAGGGUGCGUAGGUGGGUAAGUAAGUCAGUGGUGAAAUCUUCGAGCUUAACUCGGAAACUGCCAUUGAUACUAUUUAUCUUGAAUACUUUGGAGGUAAGCGGAAUAUGUCAUGUAGCGGUGAAAUGCUUAGAUAUGACAUAGAACACCAAUUGCGAAGGCAGCUUACUACACAGUUAUUGACACUGAGGCACGAAAGCGUGGGGAUCAAACAGGAUUAGAUACCCUGGUAGUCCACGCCCUAAACGAUGGAUACUCGACAUUAGCGAUACACAGUUAGUGUCUGAGCGAAAGCAUUAAGUA
rnacentral:rRNA from 1 species